UACGUAGGGUGCGAGCGUUAAUCGGAAUUACUGGGCGUAAAGAGCGCGCAGGCGGUCGUGCAAGUCGCGUGUGAAAGCCCCCGGCUCAACUGGGGAGGGUCACGCGAUACUGCUCGACUUGAAGGCAGGAGAGGGAAGCGGAAUUCCCGGUGUAGCGGUGAAAUGCGUAGAGAUCGGGAGGAACACCAGAGGCGAAGGCGGCUCGCUGGACAGUCACUGACACUCAACUGCGAAAGCGUGGGGAGCAAACAGG
rnacentral:rRNA from 1 species